rnacentral:rRNA from 1 species
UACGGGAGGCAGCAGUGGGGAAUAUUGCACAAUGGGCGAAAGCCUGAUGCAGCUAUGCCGCGUGUAUGAAGAAGGCCUUAGGGUUGUAAAGUACUUUCAUCGGGGAGGAAAAAACAAAACUAAUAAUUUUAUUUCUUGACGUUACCCGAAAAAGAAGCACCGGCUAACUCCGUGCCAGCAGCCGCGGUAAUACGGAGGGUGCUAGCGUUAAUCAGAAUUACUGGGCGUAAAGAGCACGUAGGUGGUUUUUUUAAGUCAGAUGUGAAAUCCCUGGGCUUAACCUAGGAACUGCAUUUUGAAACUGAAAUACUAGAGUAUCGUAGAGGGAGGUAGAAUUCUAGGUGUAGCGGUGAAAUGCGUAGAUAUCUGGAGGAAUACCUGUGGCGAAAGCGGCCUCCUAAACGAAUACUGACACUGAGGUGCGAAAGCGUUGGGGAGCAAACAGGGAUUAGGAUACC